AAGGGUGCGUAGGUGGCCUGAUAAGUCAGGGGUGAAAGACGGUAGCUUAACUAUCGCAGUGCCCUUGAUACUGCCGGGCUUGAAUGAACUAGAGGUAGGCGGAAGUGUGACAAGUAGCGGUGAAAUGCAUAGAUAUGUCACAGAACACCAAUUGCGAAGGCAGCUUACUAUGGUUAGAUUGACACUGAGGCACGAAAGCGUGGGGAUCAAACAGGAUUAGAUACCCCUGU
rnacentral:rRNA from 1 species